rnacentral:rRNA from 1 species
UACGUAGGGGGCAAGCGUUGUCCGGAAUCAUUGGGCGUAAAGAGCGUGUAGGCGGCCCGAUAAGUCCGCUGUGAAAGUCCAGGGCUCAACCCUGGGAUGCCGGUGGAUACUGUCGGGCUCGAGUCCGGAAGAGGAGUGUGGAAUUCCUGGUGUAGCGGUGAAAUGCGCAGAUAUCAGGAGGAACACCAAUGGCGAAGGCAGCACUCUGGGACGUGACUGACGCUGAGACGCGAAAGCGUGGGGGAGCAAACAGG